AUACCGAUAUGUGGACUAUUGCAAUCAUCAAUAAAUCUUGUUUUCGCCAUCCUCGCGAAUAUGAUAGCGAGUUGUAUAAAUAGCGCGGGAUACCCUGGGAAUUUAUCACAUCAGCAGUUUACUUCUGAGCAACAAGAUGCGUUUCAUUAUUCUUCUGGCGACUCUUUGUUUGGCCGCGGCCUACCCUUCCGAUGAUAACUCUGAUGCAAGUUCUGGCGCUUCUAUCAACACAGACGACGAAGAUGAUUCAGAUACAGGUCCCGAGUGUACUGAAGGUAACAAAAACAUUCCAAAUGGAAAGUGUGGAUUCAUUGCAUGCUCUAUGAUUACACCAAAUAAAUAUAGAGAAGUUUCCUUUGAUUGUCCUCAUAAUACCUGCUACGAUAAAGAAUCGGACAGUUGUGAGUGGGAAAAAAAAUAAUU